AGGAAAUCGCUAAGCGAAUCCCCCGUCCAUCAUUAUCAUGAUUGCUGAACCUUGUAAUGGAAUCAACUAAUAUGGCUUCUAUAAUGUUAUGGAAACCUACUUGCCUGUAUCAAAGUUGUUUAUAUGGUGAUGUCUGUAAUCUUUGCCCUAUUUUGUGAUUUGGAUCUGAAGUUCUUGUUCCAACAAUGAGAUUAUAAAUCACAUUUGAGCAGUUGACAUAUAAGAUUAAUGAAGACAAACUAUCUGAAGGGAUUCCAUUACAAG
rnacentral:misc_RNA from 1 species